rnacentral:rRNA from 1 species
GAUGAACGCUGGCGGCGUGCCUAAUACAUGCCAGUCGAGCGAACAGACGAGGAGCUUGCUCCUUUGACGUUAGAGGCGGACGGGUGAGUAACACGUGGGUAACCUACCUAUAAGACUGGGAUAACUUCGGGAAACCGGAGCUAAUACCGGAUAAUAUUUCGAACCGCAUGGUUCGAUAGUGAAAGAUGGCUUUGCUAUCACUUAUAGAUGGACCUGCGCCGUAUUAGCUAGUUGGUAAGGUAACGGCUUACCAAGGCAACGAUACGUAGCCGACCUGAGAGGGUGAUCGGCCACACUGGAACUGAGACACGGUCCAGACUCCUACGGGAGGCAGCAGUAGGGAAUCUUCCGCAAUGGGCGAAAGCCUGACGGAGCAACGCCGCGUGAGUGAUGAAGGUCUUCGGAUCGUAAAACUCUGUUAUUAGGGAAGAACAAACGUGUAAGUAACUGUGCACGUCUUGACGGUACCUAAUCAGAAAGCCACGGCUAACUACGUG